ACAAAAUGUAAACAUUAAAAAGAUGACAGCUGUGUUGAAAUGGUAUUUAUUAUUAUCUAUUGGCCACUGUUUGGUGAGCUAAUCAUUAAAUUGACAACUUUUUUAUUACUUAAACUUAGAAAUAUAAUUAUUUUUUUAUGUUGGACUUGAUCAUUGAUUAUUUUAUCGGUUGGACACCAAGCUGUUUAACUAAGUAUGUGUAGUGUUGCGAGCUGAAAAUCUGACACUUGCAAAAUAUUAAUUCGAGAUAGUUGGUAUUUAUUAAAAGAGAUCCGUACAACUUGAAAAACAUCAAGACCAUGAUAUUAUUUUGACCACUCGCUCCCACAGUAAAACAAGGAUGAGUUUUUCAUCAACAAACACGUUUUUGCACCUUUGAAUUCGAUUUGAACACACUUCUAAGUUUUAGUUGAUAUUUUCUUAAUUCUAAUCUGUUAAUAUUUUAACCCCUUGGUUGUAGUAUACUGAUUGCUGCUUACUUAAUGCUUUAAGUUAGAUGGAGAUAUUGAAAUCAUAUUCAGGACUAAAAUAUAAAAUGGAGAAUGGAAAUGGGGAAUGUGUCAGAGAGACAACAACUCGACCAAAGAGCAGAAAACAGCUUAAGGCCACCAAUGGAUUUUCAACACAGGGAGAAAAUCCCGCACCCGGAGGCAUGCUUCAGCUUGCCCCUAACAAAACUGUGAACUAGUUCAUUAAUAGUUGACGUCAUACAAAACUCCGAAAUAUAUAGAUGAACUAGAAUUAAAAAUCAUACAAGACUAACAAAGGUCAGAGGCUCCUGACUUAGGACAUUUUACCACUAAGGCUGGUAUUGCAAUGUGGGUCGGUCGUUAUGAUUGGUAUAUUGAUAUUGUUCAUAUUAUUUUUUUCUCACGAAUAUUUAUUAUAAUUGCAAUGAAUUGAGUUAACAAGUACUUUAUCAAAUGCACUGUCCCAAUUGUUCUUUUUAAAUUACCAGAUGCGCAUUCCGGUAACAAAUGUCUCGAUCUUUAGUGAUGCGCUAGUCUAAAAUAUUAGAAAAUCCAAAACCUAUCAAAUAAAAUUGAGAGCUCCUCAAUCAAAAAAGGACACACGUAUAGCAAAAUCUUGGCAGGGAAUCGGAGCAUUGCACGAGGGAGUUACCUUAUAGAGGGUUAUUUUCGCGGGUGUAAAAUUACACAAUUUUCAUUCAAUAAGGUAUACGAAAUAUUUUUGCGGUUAUUAUUUUUGCGGAUUCAAAAGUUUUAUCAAUACCUUUGCAUGUGCCGAUUUAAAUUGGCGCCAUUUAUUUGGCGAUUUUGUUCUAUCUUCGAAAAAAAGCGAACAUUUGCACCCCGCGAAAAAUAACUCGCUAUACGGUAGAUGCCUCAAUCAAUUCGUCCAUUCAAGGGGAAAAACCUAAUGUAAAAGUCAAAUCUAGAAUGUGGUUUAGAAGAGGAUGCACAUGAUUAAUUUUCAUAGUUAUACCC
rnacentral:lncRNA from 1 species